CAACCAGUACAGUGAAAACCUGGAGCUCUGUUCAGUCUCAGGGUGCCGUGAUCUAUAUGUGCUCCCAGCUCAUGGACGUUGGUGCCCACACCUGUGCAAAUACUGGGUCUGCUGCAGGGUGCUCAGUGUGCUGUGCCGUUGGGAAUCUGGCAUCCAGUGUAGGCUGAGCUCACUGACUGGCCUUUCUCUUGCCAAGGGUGUGAGUGCUAUCUCUCCAGCUAUUUUCAGGCAGCUUGUAGGAACUUAGCUUUCUCUGCUAUCUCUGUUCCUCUAGUGAUUUUAACUGAAGUUAGGGGGAGCAAUGUGAAAAGACAGGCAGAGGUGGAAACUGAUUUCAUAUGCCUGGCUUCCUAAGGGAACCUGGCUAACUAAUAGAGGUGAGAUUUGCUGCUGCAAGGAGCUCCUGGGGAAACAGAGAAGAGCCCAGGAGAGCAUCCCACUGCACAGGGGACCCACACAGAGCUACAAACCAAAUGCAAAAAUGGACCCAGAGGGAAGAGUGGACACAGGCAGACAGAGAUGAAAGCAACAGGCCUGCUAAUUCAUCACUCCUGGCCCCUGUGGGACAUCUCUGGGCAGAUGCUUCCUUCCAGGCUACCCAGGAGCCUCAGGCUUAUUAGCACUGUUUUAUUCCCCCAACACUCAGAGGAGAUGCUCUUCCCAUUUCACAGAGGAAGACACAGAGCACAGGGAGGUGAAGGGCUGCCCUGAGACCACAGAGGGAGUCUGUCUGCAGGGCAGCCUCAAAGGUGGCUCUUGGGGAACAGGAAGGUAGCACCGUGCUUAAACCAGCAGGGGAGAUCCACAGGCAGAGGAAGGCAUUAACAGCCCAGGAGGAAUAAUGGAGAAGAGGCUGAUGCUGCUUGAUAAAGACGAGGACAAAAGCAGGUGGCAGGGAUAAAGAACUGGUCUGGAAAGAUCAGUGAGUAGGAGAGGAGAUAUAUAUAUAUAUAUAUAUAU